GAUGAAGAACGCAGCGAAAUGCGAUAAGUAAUGUGAAUUGCAGAAUUCAGUGAAUCAUCGAAUCUUUGAACGCACAUUGCGCCCCCUGGUAUUCCGGGGGGCAUGCCUGUUCGAGCGUCAUUUCACCACUCAAGCCUCGCUUGGUAUUGGGCAACGCGGUCCGCCGCGUGCCUCAAAUCGACCGGCUGGGUCUUCUGUCCCCUAAGCGUUGUGGAAACUUUCGCUAAAGGGUGUUCGGGAGGCUACGCCGUAAAACAACCCCAUUUCUAAGGUUGACCUCGGAUCAGGUAGGGAUACCCGCUGAACUUAAGCAUAUCAAUAAGCGGAAGGA
rnacentral:misc_RNA from 1 species